UGGGAACGUCUGAACACACAGGAGGGCAUUUUUAUGUACGAGUAUGUGUAUGGGAGGGGAGGACCUAAGAUGGGCAUUAAAGUUAAAAAUAGAAACAGCUUGCUAAUUUUCUUUAUGGGUUCAACUAACACUUUCGAAUCGGUGCUCGACCCAGGCCUGGAGCACCGCUUCACGAGGAAGUAAAUCUUCAUUACCGACGAGACGAGCGGCGAGGCGGCACCGCGGCUCCAGGCGGGGCGGCGGCUCCUCCGACACCCGCGUCAUGCCCUUCAGCUUCCAGCAGCAGACGAGCGGCUGAACAGACACUCCCCGGGAUGACUGAACGACAGCCAGGCUGGACUGAAUGAUCCAGCAGUUGCUGCAGUUUCUGGCCCGCCUUCCCACGCCUGCAGCCAACGCCCCAGACAACAACACCAGUGACAGCAGGAGGCAUUAGGCGGGAAAGUCUCGGUUACCGAUGACAUUCAGAAACAGCAGCAUCCACCUCGUCUGGUCUGCCCACGCGGGAUGGAAGCUCUGAAAAAUGAAGAAAGGAAGGAAGGAAGGAAGAUAAUCUCAGAAGACUCAUACAGUCCAUUACACGUCCUUCAUGUUAUGUUAUUACAUUCCUGUACUCCCAACGCCCGGCCCGGGGGUCCAGCCGCAAUACUCACAAGGUCCAGAUGCAGACUGCGGCCACCACUUGAGCAGCCCGGCUGCUGUACGCCAAUCCUUAUUUAGUUGUGUUCUUGUAGAGUUAAAUCCAGACAUCCCAUAUCCUUAGGCCAGGUCAAAAGUAAAGUUUGGUGUGCAUGGCCUCAGUGUUCAUCUCUGUUACACUGCCCCUGGAGGCUGUGGGGGCAGGAAUCCAGCACCCCAGGACACAGGGAGACACUCAGACUACCACAGGUGCCUCCCCAGGGGUCUCCAGGUACACUUGAUCACCCAGACACAAAGGAUGACCUGCAUACUGACUGCCCAGGCCGGGAUUCAAACCCUGGCCAGCGGAUUGGUAGGUAGGCAUGCCAGCCACAGCACCAUGGAGCCAUGCAUUAUACUAGUACUUGGCACUGGUAUCCUAUGCUAUUUAUUCCUGGCUAGUUGGACACCAGAGAUUUCCUGUAUUAAUUUCAUGGGUUUUCUGUUAUAUAUUUGUUUAUUAGGUGUAUCUUUUUAUUUAGCUUCAUCAUGAUUUUUAUUGUUAUUUAGUGAAGCAGCUCAAGGGUGAAUGUAAUACAAAACACAAUUUGCAAAUUGAU